AGAGUUUGAUCCUGGCUCAGGAUUAACGCUGGCGGCGUGCCUGACACAUGCAAGUCGAACGAGGCCGCAAGGCCUAGUGGCGGACGGGUGAGUAACACGUGACCAACCAACCCCGAAGUUGGGAAUAGCUCUGCGAAAGUAGAGGUAAUACCGAAUGUGGUCCAGGGCGGACAUCCGCUCUGGUCUAAAGAUUUAUCGCUUCGGGACGGGGUCGCGGCCUAUUAGCUUGUUGGUGGGGUAACGGCCUACCAAGGCGAUGAUGGGUAGCUGGUCUGAGAGGACGACCAGCCACACUGGGACUGAGACACGGCCCAGACUCCUACGGGAGGCGAC
rnacentral:rRNA from 1 species